rnacentral:rRNA from 1 species
CAGUAGCCGCGGGAAUACGAAGGGGGCUAGCGUUGUUCGGAUUUACUGGGCGUAAAGCGCACGUAGGCGGAUCGAUCAGUCAGGGGUGAAAUCCCAGAGCUCAACUCUGGAACUGCCUUUGAUACUGUCGAUCUGGAGUAUGGAAGAGGUGAGUGGAAUUCCGAGUGUAGAGGUGAAAUUCGUAGAUAUUCGGAGGAACACCAGUGGCGAAGGCGGCUCACUGGUCCAUUACUGACGCUCAUGCACGAAAGCGUGGGGAGCAAACAGGAUUAGAUACCCCUGUAGUCCCUGUCUCUUAUAC